rnacentral:rRNA from 1 species
UACAGGGGGGGCAAGCGUUGUUCGGAAUUACUGGGCGUAAAGGGCUCGUAGGCGGCCAACUAAGUCCGACGUGAAAUCCCUCAGCUUAACUGGGGAACUGCGUCCGAUACUGGAUGGCUUGGAUUUGGGAGAGGGAUGCGGAAUUCCAGGUGUAGCGGUGAAAUGCGUAGAUAUCUGGAGGAACACCGGUGGCGAAGGCGGCAUCCUGGACCAAUAUUGACGCUGAGGAGCGAAAGCCAGGGGAGCAAACGGG